AACAAAUCGGAUGAAGUUUGUCUGAGAGGACGGUUUGGACACUUUGUCUCGGUCCAUGAAUGGAGUCACUGGAAGCCCUUUGAGUUUCUCUGUGUCACUCUGCACAACAAAAAAACAACAAAAACAGAACAAAGGUUUUCUGCUUUAGAGUGAGAUGGUUUUAAUAGGGGGCUCGGUGGUUAGAAGAUCCCUGGUUCGUGUCCCGGCCUUCCUGGGAUCUUUCUGCAUGGAGUCUCCAUGUUCUCCUGUACAUGUGUGGGUUUCCUCCAGGUUCUCCAGCUUCCUCCCACAGUCCAGAAACAUGCUGAGGUUCAUUGGUGAGUCUACAUUAUCCAUAGUUCGAAUGUGAGUGUGAAUGUUUGUCUCUGUGUGUAGCCCUGUGAUAGACUGUUACCUGUCCAGGUGUCUCCUACGUUCACCCCAAGUCAGCUGGGAUAGACUCCAGCCCCCUAUGACCCUAAUGAGGACUAAGCAGAGUGGAUGGAUGGUUUUAAUAGACUGUUCCCUUCUCGAAAAGGCAGCAGUAAGUUUCCACAUGUAAACAGUAAGCACCUGGUUGAAGAACUCCUGCAGCAGACAGUCCAGCCAGGGCUCGGCCACCGCCAUCGGCCUCGCCUCGUUGGAGAUGUCGCUCACCUUCACCAUGAUCUUCAUCAGCUGCAAACAAAGAGUCCCAGUCAACGGUAGGACAUUUGUUGAUCUUUUCACAGAGGAGCUGGAAGUUUGAAACUAAAGGUUCAGAGAAACUGACUUAAAGCUUUUUAUAAUUACAUUCAGAGCACUUCAUAUGUUUUAUUUUUCUUCAGCUGUUUUGUUUUGUGUCACUGAAAUGAAAAAUACAUAGAAGCGAAUGUUGUAGUUGUGUAUUGACAAAGUACCAAAACGACAGCAGUGAUGUUUUAAUUCCUAGACUAAAUAGUAAUACCAGCCCUGUUUACCCCACUUACUGCCACAUGAUGGCAGUAAUUAAUCAUUUUGGUAUUUGUAACCUAAAGAGAAAGAAGAGGUGUUGUGUUUUUCUAGAUUUAAUGUGAUGUGGAAUUAGAACUACAACAUAAAAACUAAGAAAUCAGCUCAUCAGAAAGCCUAAAGCACUCUGAAAACAUGAAGAUGAAGUGGUUUUAAUGUGCGUUUCUUCACCACUUCCUUAUGGUCCUUGUUGGUGAAGUCGAACACCGGCUGCAUGACUUUAAACUUGUUGAGGAUUUCAUUGUGCCUCGCCAUGUCAGUGGCCAGGAUACAUCUGGAAAAGGAAAAAUAAUAAUAUUAAAAACCGAACAAACCACUCAACAUAAAUGAGCUGAAGUCUUACUUGAUCAUUCCUCCUCGGAUGUGUUUGUACUGCUCAGUGGUCAGGUUUUUAAGGAUGUUGCACUCUGGCUGCAAAAUGAGAGUAAAUUUACAACAUUUGUAUGUGUUUAACGACUACAGAGUCAAGUAGCAAAGUGUAAAUCUGUGUUUUCUAUCGAAGUGUUGGACAUUUUUUCUAAUAAUUAUUGUUUCAUUAUUGUGAUUUAUUAAAAAAAAACUCCCAAGACUCAUUUAUGUCCUCAGUGAUGAUGUAGUCAGGUGUGUACAAUCCCAAAUUAAUUAAUAAAAGAUGAAUAAACGCAGCAAAACAUGUUCCAACUACAUCUACACACUUUAAACUUUUACAGCUUCUUUAUCUGCUGGACACAUUAACCAGAUAACCGUAGAAACUUCAAUCCAUUUUUUCGUUUAUGUAGAUACUGCUCUCAGUGUUUGUUGCUUUUUGCUGAUGAUAUUAGCUUAUUUCUUUGAUAGACAUAUUUAAAGCAAGAUUUUCUUUUUGUUAGUUACAUUAAUUCAGUUUGCAGUUAGAGGAUGCAAUUAUUCACAUUAAAAACUAAAUGAUGAAUAGUUUGGUUGAUUGCAAAGGUUUAGUUUCUCCACAUAUUCUAUUAUUUGGGCUGCCACUUUUCAGUCAGUUCUGCUCCUCUGUAAUAUUAAUAUUUACAAUCAUACUUUUUUAUUAUUUCUCUAUCAUCCCCUUUAAAUCCUUUAAUACAUCAUGUUUUUUCUACCUUGGCCAGGAUGCCAAAGGCGACGGCACAGUGGUGGUUUUCCAGAGGUGAAAUGUCGUUGUAGCGGAGAGCCAAGUCAGUCUGAGCAUUUAUCUGUGAGGGAAAAAGGAAUUAUAUAAAUAACAAACUUCUUGUUUACGAGACAAACUUAUUCAUACAACAGGAGACACGACCUGAUAGACGUUGUUGUAGCCGGGAUGGUCCAGGUCGUGGCACAGAGCCGAGGUCAGCAUGAUCAGCAGCUCGAUCCUUCCUAAUUUGUUCCUGAGAUCUGUGAGCCAGAUCAGCCCAUACAUCUGCCCAAAGAAGCACCAGUAAAACCAGCAAAACCAGUAGAACAAUGACACUUCUCUGCAGCAGCUGCCUGCACUCACAACAGUCAAAGACCUUUGGUCCUGAUUGACUGAUUUUGUUACCGUUUCUGUCAGAUAUACAAAAUUAAAAUCAGCACAAGAAACACUGAGAGGAACUCAGUUUAUGAAGCCAGACAUGUAGUAUAACAAAAACCAAAGCUGUCCUGGUUCAAGAAUCCAAUAUGGAGCAUAUUGAAAAUGAUUAUAUUGGCUUACACAG